GGCUUUUUGCCAUUUCUUGGGCCGCUCCCUGGGCAUAUGGAGGUUCCCAGGCUAGGGGUCUAAUCUGAGCUGUAGCCGCCGGCCUACGCCAGAGUCACAGCAACGCGGGAUCUGAGCCGCGUCUGCAACCUACACCACAGCUCACAGCAACGCCGCCGGAUCCUUAACCCACUGAGCAAGGCCAGGGAUUGAACCCGCAACUUCAUGGUUCCUAGUCGGAUUCGUUAACCACCGAGCCACGAUGGGAACUCCACAUACACAUUUUUUAAAAAACUAUUCCGAAGUAUGUAGGCAACAAAAAGAUAAAAAUUUCCCAUUCUCUUUUUCAAAAGUAUUUGUACAGUAUUCAUAAAUAAAUGUACAGUAUUUGUAAGUGAAUGUAGUUGAAGUUACUUUAAAAUAUAUAGGACUAAGACACCAAGUCAAAACCAAAAUACUUUAUAUUAUCAAUUCACCUAAGACUAUAAGAGAACCAUAUGUCCUCCACUAAGACACAGGGUCUGACCCAGGAUUUUUUAUUCCUUCCAAAUGUGGACACAAAAAUGCUGACAUUUCUGGGUAUUUUUAUGGUUUGGUUUCCAAUAAGACACAAUACAAACUUGAACUUCAGCUGAGACUUUAUCUAAAUAGUCACAACUCUGAAUUAGUGGAGCCAAAGGAUUUACCGUCCCGUGAGGUAUCAGGGAUGGUUCCCUUGUAAACAUUCCCUCAGUACCUGGGAAAUAACAUCCUCCCUCACAAUGUCUUUUCUUUUAAAUCUGUACAAAAAUUAUAAAAUACUAUGGUUGUUUUCCCCUCAUGGAAGAUGAUUAUUGUUUCAAAAUGCUUCGCUCCAGACCAAAAUAAAAAAAUGGCCAAUAAAUUCCUUGAGAGCAAAGACCGCCAACCAAUAUUAUGUGCACUAUUUCUCUAUGCCCCUUCUCAAAGCUACUAGAAUAUUCCUCAGUUUCAAUCAGAUGACUGUCAAAUGGUAAAGUAGACUGUGAGCUCAGUGAGGACAGAGACCGCCUGUUACUCAUUGUUUUGUGACCCUACAGCCCAAAACAGCGACUGGCAUGAGACAAAUGCUCAGUAAGUAAAGAAAACAAGAGAGUUUGGGUUUGAUCAAACAGCUCUUCACAAACAUCGAGCAGAAACUCUAAUGCUGUUAUUGUAAGAAGAUUUCUACAUGCAUUUCUCUAACACCUAACACCGUAGAGAGGCCAGCACCCCCAGUUUGUCUUUGUGGUGAAUCUUCAGAAUGCCAUUUUUAAUUUAAAAUGUUUUGUGGUAUUCUUGCUUUGAGGGAAAACACAGUUGGAAUUCAGGAGCACAAUAAGAGAAUUAAUAACUUUUCUUUGAAAAUACAUGCAAUUUUGGAGCUGUCAAUUUCAGCUAUGUCUCUUUAAAUACUUUUUCUUCUAGAAUCCAACUGGGUAGAUGAGUUUUUUUUUUAAUUCCAUUAUAGAAGUAAUAGCCCUGUUUUGGUGUUGUGUAAGCAGAUAAUAUUCUGCUAGUGACUGUCUUUGCAGUAAUGCAUUGCUCUGAAUUCUGAAUUCUAUUAUUUUACAUCUACAGCAGCUUAAAGUGUAUUUUUUAUAAACAGCAAACUUCACCUCAUAAAAAUUCAUUACAUAAGGGCAUAAACAAGUGCUUUUCCUUCUAGUCAUUGGCAGUAAGUGAUUCAUCAGUUUUCCACAGAAAACCAAUUUCAUUGCAGAUGUUCUAUAAUUUCCAAUCUCCCUGAAUUGUGGAACCAUAUCACACAAUCCCAAUGCAAGGAAUGUAAGGAUUUUUUUUAAGGUCUGUGCUUAGUCUCUUUAAUAGGAUUGAAUGUCAUUUGCUGUCUCAUCAGUUUUAUUAAAAAAAAAUUAAGCAAUCAGUCUCCUUUUCUUUCCUGCCUAUGUUGAUUCCACACAUGGAUGGAUAACUGGUAGAAAAUUCAAAACCCACAGAUUACUUUAUGUCUGAAAACAGUAACAUAUACUCCUUUUCCCCAAGACAAACUAGAAAUAUUGAGAGAAACAAAAUUUUUUCCAGUACUAAAUCCUUUUUCCUCAAUAAAGGUUUACUUUCUCUUUUUAACCCUGCAGUAAAGGAGGAGCAUAGGAGGCUGUAGAAAGGAACCACCUUUCUAUUAACAAUGGAACUCCUGAGUGUUCCCGCUGUGGCACAGUGGGUUAAGAUACAGCAUUGUCUCUACAGCCCUGCAGGUUUGAACCCUGGCCUGGGCAGUGGGUUAAAAGGAUCUGUUGUGGCAUUAAGACACAGAUGUCGGUUCAGAUGUAGACCCUGGUCAAAUAAGGGAGCUUCCUUAUGCCAUGGAUAAGGCCAUUAAAAACAACAACAACAAAAAAAAAGGAACUCCUAACAGUAGUCCUUGGGAAAAUUACCUCCACUAUUACAUGAGUUUAGUUUUAUCCUGCAUUUUUAAAUUGAGAAAUGGCAAAUGGGCAUUCAAGUAUAAAAUAAGGAAUUAAGAGGGAAAAAAAAUGCCUGCAGUUUCCAUGAUGGUCUAAGGUCAUAUAUGCUAAAUAAAAAUUUCUCAGAAAUGCUGACAAGGAAAAGGUUAAAUUUUUCCUCAAAACCUUAGGAAAUUAAAGUCCAGUCUUUUUAAAAACACCCCAAUUUUUGAAUUGAGAAGUUGAAUCAAAAGCAUGAUAAUUAAAUUUACUAAUAACACAGUUAUGAGGUAUUGCAAGGGCGAAGUGACAGAUUUUUCAAGAUAACCAUUUAGAUUCUGAAGCUGGUCCUUAUUUACCCCUCUGCCUUCCACUGCAGCUCUAGUUACCCACAUAUUUCCUUUAAUGAGUUGCAUAAGGAAGCCCCGUGGACUUGUCUCAGCAGGACCAUUCUAUGCAGGGGUUUCCAAGUAUGUUUUGAAAAGUAUAAAUAUCUGCCAUGGGUCUGCCAGGGUGCCUGGAGUUCCAUUAUCAAUGGAUGUCUUUGAAGUUAGAGCAUUAUUUCUAAUUUGCUAAAUUACACGGAAUGUGCUGCCACCUCUAGUGGCUUUGCUGCUGGCAUCAGGCAGAGACCAGAGGCAGCCAGAGAAAUGGAGAAGUUGGUGUCUAUGCCUAUACCUAUAAAGUGCGGAACCACCAGUCAAAUCCUAUUCUAGCUCCUUAUCUCCUGUGAUCCCUGAUUAUUGCACAUUGCCUCUUUUUACUUACUGCCCUUCAAGUACAUUUUAAAUCAGCUUCUCCUUAAUACAAUCUGAAAUUUAAAGUCCUAGGAAAGAUUAAUCAUAGCCUCCCUCUCCAUUUAAAUCAGACAACCCAUUACCGAACACUUUCUUCUGUGUGUUGAGGACCAGAAAUCCAAAGACAAAUAGGAGAUCAUUGAAGAUGAUGAUGAGAGUGUUUACUAUCAGAGUGCUCAGAGAGCAUAGAGAAGUGAGUCAUCUAUUCCAUCAGGGAUCUGUGGAAGGCCUCCCAAGGAGGUGCCAUUUGGGUUCUGUCAUUUUUUUGUUUUCUGGGGGGUUUUUUUGGCCAUGCCCCUGGCAUUUGGAAGUUCUCAGGCCAGAGAUCAAACAUGUGUCGCAGAAGUGACCCAAGCCAUAGCAGUGACAACUUAACCUACUGAGCCACCAGGGAACUGCUGGAUUCAGUCUUGAUAGGUGUGUGGGAUGUCUUUGGGUGAUGGACAUUGAAAAGAGAGGGGGAGAUCCCGUCGUGGCACAGUGGUUAAUGAAUCCGACUAGGAACCAUGAGGUUGCGGGUUCGAUCCCUGGCCUUGCUCAGUGGGUUAAGGAUCCGGCGUUGCCGUGAGCUGUGGUGUAGGUUUCAGACGUGGCUUGGGUCCUGCGUUGCUGUAGCUCUGGCGUAGGCCAGUGGCUGCAGCUCUGAUUUGACCCCUAGCCUGGAGCGGCCCAAAGAAAUAGCAAAAAGACAAAAAAAUAAAUAAAUAAAUAAAAUAAAAUAAAAAAACUUAAAAAAAAAAAAAGAAAAGAGAAGGGAAAAAAAAACUUACUCUUCAGUUUAACACAUGAGUCCUUAGCAUCCAAGUUCAGAUGAAUAGGGGAUCUGCAGGGUACCAGACACUGUGUGAGGUAAGCACUGAGGAUGAAAACACAGAGAGCACACAAGACAUUUCUGCCCACAAGAGCUUGUAGGUUUCCUGGAAACCAUUUAUCACUUAUAAGUCAUCAUCUAUUUUAUUUUCUUUUAUUUUACCUGUCUUUUUUAGGGCCAUACCUGCAGAACAUGAAAGUUCCCAAGCUAGGGGCCCAAUCAAAUCUGUAGCUGCCAGCUGCAGCCCCAGCCAUAGCAGGGGUCAAAUCAGAGCUGUGGCUGCUGGCCUACACCACAGCCACAGCAAUGCCAGAUCUGAGCCAAGUCUGCAUACUACACCACGGCUCACAGCAACACCAGAUCCUUAACCUACUGAGCGAGGCCAGGGAUGGAACCCUCAUCCUCACAGAUACUAAUUGGGUUCAUUACUGCUGAGCCACAGUGGGAAAUCCAUAAGUCAUCGUCUAGGAAAACAAGCAAGAUUCAUAUCUCAGGUGGAAAGCCAGGUUCCCCAGGGCCAGCAGAGAUGGCUAAAGAUUCCUCUAGAGAUACAGGGCAGCAAAACUAGAGAUAAUAAGGUUAGUGAAAGGAGACAGCCGAAGUAACAAAGUUUGGUUAAACCAAACCAAAGGUCCUUAGCUCUGCUCAGUGACUGGUACUCUUCUAGAACUUUUUAUUCAGUGAGAAAAGUGUGAUAUAAACCACAGUUCACAAAAUAGGCAACCAGGUAAUCUGUCACAGCGCAGGUGUGAGAACUAAGAUCUUUCUUACUCAACAACCAUCCUCUUUCUGUCAAACUUAACUGCCUUUCAAUUUUAUUUCACAAUUUCUUCCAGAGGCUCAUUGUUACCUGGCUUGCUCAUACCUCCUGUAGGACAUGGAUCUCAACAAAAAUCAGGAAUUACCAGAAGAAACAUUUACUCAGAUGGAACUAUACCCUUUAGUGAAUUGGCCUUAGCAGAGCAGACACUGGUCAGAAUGUCCUACUUGAGUAGCUAUACCAUAAUUGAGGAAUAGGGGAGAGAAAGUUUAUCCUUGAGAUACUUGCAUCCUUGGGAAGAUAAGUCCAUGUCAAGGAUUUCUUUUAACCCAAGAAAUGAAGAUAAUGAUUCAGGAAGGGAAGGGAGUAUAUUUUCUCAGAGGUUGACAUGGUACCUGGUCUUUGGUAGAAUUCAAUAAUUUAGUGGAAUGAAUAGAAGAAUGAAUGC
rnacentral:lncRNA from 1 species